CGAAGUCUGGUGCCAGCAGCCGCGGUAAUUCCAGCUCCAAUAGCGUAUAUUAAAGUUGUUGCAGUUAAAAGCUCGUAGUUGAAUUUCGGGGUCAGUAAGUUGGUCGUGCCUACGGUAUGUACUGGCUUUACUGAUUCCUCCUUCUUGAAGAACUGUAAUGCCAUUAAUUUGGUGUUGCAGGGAAUCAGGACUGUUACUUUGAAAAAUUAGAGUGUUUAAAGCAGGCUUACGCUUGAAUACAUUAGCAUGGAAUAAUGAAAUAGGACGUUGAUUCUAAUUUUGUUGGUUUCUAGGGUUGACGUAAUGAUUAAUAGGGAUAGUUGGGGGCAUUAGUAUUCAAUUGUCAGAGGUGAAAUUCUUGGAUUUAUUGAAGACUAACUACUGCGAAAGCAUUUGCCAAGGAUGUUUUCAUUAAUCAAGAACGAAAGUUAGGGGAUCGAAGACGAUCAGAUACCGUCGUAGUCUUAACCAUAAACUAUGCCGACUAGGGAUCGGAUGAUGUUAAUUUUUUUAAUGACUCAUUCGGCGCCUUACG
rnacentral:rRNA from 1 species